rnacentral:tRNA from 1 species
GGGUAGAGCUCAGUGGUGGAGCGCCUGCUUAGCAGGCACAGCAUCCUGGGUUCAAUCCCCAGUACCUCCA